rnacentral:lncRNA from 1 species
UGACACCCUCCUGCACACUCUGCACCAGUCCCCCACGCAGCACGGCCCUGCCUUUGGUGCACAGAAACAGAAGAGGGCAGAGAUCAUUAUGUAGCAACCCCGCUCAGCCCUACUGUGUUCUCAGUAUUCCUAAUCACAAACUUAGGCAUGUGGACAGUCUUUAGGGAAGAGGUCAGUGCUAAGAAAAAGGGUUCCCAAGAAGAAUCGAGGAGCUGAAAGCAGGGCUGAGAUCAAGUCCUCCAGGACUCUGGCCCAGCAGGCCAAUCACAGGGGAUGGGGGAGGGAUGCUCCAAGCCAUCCCAUCACCCCAGAAAGCAUCUGAUUCUGCUUUUGUUCAUGCCACAAUCCUUUUGUAGAUCUACUGAAAUCUGACCAUUGGGUCAAGUGGUGAAGAUCUAAAACAAACACAAGGUGGGCUCCCAGAAGCUCCCGGCCUAGGAGGGCAAGACAGCUGCACAAGUUACCAUCAAUAAAGGCAGUGAGGGGAAGAAGUGCAAAGCCUAUAUGACCUUGGGAGAAGAGGUGGUGAACUCUUCUUGUAGAGGGAAGAACAGCAGAAGAGGGGAGAAAAGAUAAAGCACAGAGCAGGUGGCAUCUGAGCUGGGCCUGAGGGGUGAAUGGGAGAAAGUGCAUCUGGACAAGGAGAAUAUACAAAAUCUUUAACAACUGCUAGGGUCCCAGCCUGGCCCAAUCGGAACGGUUAGUUGCUGGCCCUUUAUCAGGUAAAUAUGGCCAGUCAUGUGCAUCUACUUCCACUUCCUCCCCGAACCUUGGCAGAAUAACUUUUACUUUAAAAAUUAAGCAUAAAUACACAGGGGUGGGGAAAACCAGAGAAGAGAUAAGAGUAACAGAAUUUUGGAAGCUAGAAAAUCAGAUGGGCAAGUAGUAAAUAGCCCCAGAAUCCCAAAAAAACUGCAUUCUAAGUCAGCAGUAGGAGAAGCUGAAACCAAUCUAAUUUAUCCUGCAAAACCCUCUUCACAGCUUGGAAAUUGGUGGUAUUCAUCCAUCUUGAAAGCAGGAGAAAAGAGUUAAGGAAGGCUGGUUGGCAAUCUGUUUAGGAAGCAGUUAAAACUCAAGUUCCUUCCUUGACUAGCAACAGCCCUGCCUUACCCAGAAGAUGGAAGGCUGUUCUUCAAAAUAAACAGAGACUUUCUGGACUGGGAGACAGCAGGCAGAACUGAGAAUGGACCUACCGUGCUGAGAACAUUGGGAUUACAGACCACUGAAUUUUGGUUACUGAGCCUCCACAUCCUCCUCCACUGGGCACUCAAUGCACCAACUCUCGAGAUGUCAGCCUCCUGGCAAGACACAGGAUGAGCCGUCUCUGAGGGCUGCAACCUAACUUCAUGGAAAAAUCUCAUGAUUUAAGAAAGACUUCAUAACAUUUAAUAUUACACAAGAAAAAAGGCUCAGCUAGAUCAUCCUCCAAUGAAGCCCAUGGUUAUCAAAUCCCACCUGCACAGUGAUUCUUAAAUAUGUGCAGAUAAACAAGAAUAACUGGACAACUGAAGAAAUCUUCAAAAUUGAACAAUAAAGAGCAAAACAAACAACUUGGAAGAAACAGAGACUAUGCAGAAUAAAAAAAAAAAAACCUUUCCUGCAAAAAAUAUAUUAAUUUUUUUCAGGAAAACAGCAUUGCAAUCAUAAAACAGGAAGCUAUAAAAAGGAACAUUCAGAAAAAAAAGAAUGUUUGUAAAUUAAAAAUAUAACAAAUGAAAUGUCAAUAGAGGGUUGGAAGGUAAAGUUAAGAAAAUCUCCCAGAAAAUGAAGCAAAAAGAUGAAGAGAUGGAAAAGAGAAAUUAAGAAAACUAAAGAAUCAGUCCAGAAGGUCUACUAUCCAAAUGAGAAUCUUAGAAAGAGGAAACAGGGCAGGUGUGGGAGGUAUAGGGGAGAGAUAAACAAGAAAAGUAAAUCAGUUACAAAAUCAAGAAAAUGUCUUGGAACUGAAGACCCAGAGUUUACAGAUUGAAGGGGCCUGCCAAGUGGGCCUUGAGUAAAAAUAUGAGCACAACUGAUAAAAAUAGAUCCACUGCAAGGCACAGAACAUCAUUAUAACAUCUCAGAAUACUGACAUAAAAAAAAAAUCAAGAACAAAAUAUGUUUUUUUGACUAUAACACUCAAUAUUAAGAUCUCAAUCCUUCCCAACUUUAUCUACAGAUUUCAUACGAUCUUAAUUAAAAUCCCCAAAAGCUCUUUUGUAGACAUUGCCAAAUUGAUCUUAAAGCUUAUAUGGAAAAAGCAAAAGACCUAGAAUAACCAACAUGAUACAGAAGAACAAAGUUGAAGGACUCAUGCUACUUGAUUUCCAAACCUCCUAUAAGGCUAUAAUAAUCAAGACAGAAUGAUACUAGUGAAAGAAAAGAUAUAUUGGUCAAUAGAACAGAAGAGAUUGCCCAAAACAAAUGUAGUCAACUAUCCUUGAUGAAGAGCAAAUGCAACCUAAUAGAGAAUGGAUGGUCAUGUCAACAAAGGAUGCUUCAAUGUUUGGAAAUACAUAUAGACAUAUAUAUGUAGACAUAUGUAUAUAGACAUAGACUUUAUGCCUAACAUGAAAAAAAUAAAAUGGAUCAUAAACUCAGAUAAAUGUGAAACUAUAAAACUUCUUGAUGAAACAGUAGAAAAUCUUCAUGAACUUGGGUUUGCUGAUGACUUUUAAAAUAUAACAAGUAUCACAAAAACAUUGAAAAGCACAGAUAUUUGAAAGAAAAAAAUUGCUAAGUUGGCCUUUAUUCAAAUUAAAAACUUUUGAUGUAUGAAAGACAAGUCUCAACUGGGAGUAAAUAUUUGCAAAACACAUAUCUGAGGAAGGACUUAUAUCCAAAAUAUACAGAAAACUCUUAAAAUACAAUAAUAAGAGAACAAACAAGCUGAUUAAGAAACGGGCAAAAGAUCUGAACAGACAUCUCACCAAGGAAGGUAUACACAUGGCAAAUAAGUGUAUGAAAAGAUGCCCAACAUCAUUUGUCAUUGGAAGUUGCAAAUUUAAACAAUGAAAUAAUAUCACCCACCUAUCAGAAUAGCUAAAACCAAAAACUGACAAUAACCACUGCCAAGGAUGUGGAACAACAAGAAACUCUUAAUCAUUGCCAGAGAAUACAGAAUGGAAUAGCCAUUUUGGAAGACAUUUUGGCAAUCUGUUUAUAAAACUAAACAUAAUCUUACAAUACAAUCAAAUCAUCACGUUCAGGGGAUCCCUGGGUUGGCUCAGUGGUUUAGCGCCUGCCUUCGGCCCUGGGCAUGAUCCUGGAGCCCCAGGAUCGAGUCCCAUAUCAAGCUCCCUGCAUGGAGCCUGCUUCUCCCUUUGCCUGUGUCUCUGCUUCUCUCUCCCUCUGUGUCUCUCAUGAAUAAAUAAAUAAAAUAUUUUAAAAAACCACAAAUCAUCACGUUCCUAGGUGUAUACCCAACUGAUUUGGAAGUUUUGCCCACAUAAAAACCUGUACAUGAAUGUUUACUCAGCUUUAUUUGCAAUUGCCAAAGGCUGGAAGCAACCAACAUGUCUUUCAAUAGGCAAAUGGAAAAACAAUCUGUACCACAUCCAUAGAAUGGAGAUAUUAUACAACAACAAUUAGAAAGGAAGUACCAAGCCACAAGAAGAUAUGGAUGAAUCUUAAGUGCAUAUUGUUAAAUGAAAGAAGCCAAUUUUAAAAAGCUACGUACUGUAUAAUUCCGAUUAUAUGAAAUUCUGGAAAAAGCAAAAUUAUAGGAAUAGUAAACAGCGAUUACCAAGGGUUCGGGGGAAAGAGAGGGGAACAGGUGGAGGGUAUAUUUAGGAUGCUGAAACCAUUCUGUAUGAUACUUUAAUGAUAAAUACAAGACAUUAAGCAUUUGUCGAAACCUACAGAACUUUACAAGCAUGACAAGUAAAAUUUAAGGUAUAAAAAUCAUUUUUUUCAUCAUUUAGGAGAUGGAGCUAUCCAAAGAUGGAAUGAUGGAAUGCAGAAUGUGACAAUAGAAUCUAAAUGUAUUAUUUAUAUAUAGUUCACUAAAGGGGAUGAGGAAUAAGGUGCUAACCUAAGCAGCUUUGGAAAUAAGUAAGAGUACAUGAGACUAAAGGCAAAAGAAACUAUACAUAAGCACUGUACUCUAGCUAAUAUAGUUGUUUCCCACAAGAGUAUAGGUUAGUAAUUCUGACAUUAUUACACAGGUAUCCUGUAUCUGAGUACUAAUAAAUGGAAGCAAAGUUUCUCACUGUUGGAACGCCAAGUUACAAAUAAGCAAAGGCUAGACUGAUCCAUGUGGUAAUUAGAGAUAUCAGUAUGAACUCAUGGUUACCUUAAUAUAGAAAUAUUUACAGAUAUGUAUAUAAUCUUGGGUUAGUAUACAGAAUAUAUAUUCUUACUCUGACAUUUGAGAAGGCCUGUCAACAAUGAUACUCCAGUAGCAAUGAGCAA